AAUCCAUGUGCAUCUUGGAGAAUACAACAUUAAGGUCUAUGAAGGCAAUGAACAAUUCAUAAAUGCAGCCAAGAUUAUUUGCCACCCCAAGUAUAACUCAGCCACCAUUGAUAAUGACAUCAUGCUGAUUAAGCUGAGCUCAGUCGCCACCAUCAACUCUCAAGUGGCCACCAUCUCUCUGCCAAGAUCCUGUGCAGCGGCUGGUACUCAGUGCCUCAUCUCUGGCUGGGACAACACCCUGAGCAGUGGCUUUAGUGUCGCCUGAAACAGAAGUACCAAGUGUGACAAUUUUAGAGCUGAAAGACAUGUGGAAAGUCAGCUAGUCCAAACUCACUUAAGGUUAAGUUCCCAGAGCAUAGUUUUUGGAUACAUGGAAUCUCAGAAAUAUACUAUUAAUAAUUGAAAUGAAGAAGAUUCCUUUGCUGGAACCAUGCAGAAGACAUAAUAAUGAAGUACUAUGAAGAUAUCAGGGUAUUUAACUGAAGUGUGAUUAGUGAUGGGCAGAGAACUAUAAACUGAGGAGUGUCUGAAGGCUCCCAUUCUCUCUAACACUGCUUGCCGCACAGCCUACCCAGACAAGAUUACUACAAACAUGAUAUGUCUGGGAUUCCUGGAGGGUUGAAAGGACUCUUGCCAGGGUGACUCUGGUGUUCCUGUGGUCUG
ensembl:lncRNA novel transcript